rnacentral:snoRNA from 1 species
AGUGCUGUCGAGACUGGGAAAGCUAAGUUAGCACAGAUGAGAUAGAGCAAUCCUGUGGUCAGACAUCUGAGUGGGGGCGUUCGGAAUAUACGCUGCUUUGACACG